rnacentral:lncRNA from 1 species
GCAAACAUGCCUCGGAGCCUAGGCGCAGGGCUUUAAGCGCAGGCGCGGGCUUUUCGUAGGCGAGGCGCAGUAAAGCCUAAAAAAUUCUAAUAUAUUUACCUAAGGUAAGUGACGAACUGACUUCUAGAAUUUAGAUAAUGGGUAAUUCACUAAUUUGUAUAUAAAUUAAUAUUUAAUAGAUUAGUUCAUAUAGUACUAGAAUAUCCUAAUAUUUUAGAAUAAAUGAGCUGUAUACCUCCUGCACACCACACUAAUUUGCCUCACUCUUAAUUAAUAAUAUUUUAUUAGAAUAGUGGAAUAUCCUAAUAUUUUAGAAUAAAUGAUAUACAGCUGUAUACCUCCUGCACACCACACUAAUUUGCCUCACACUUAAUUAAUAAUAUUUUAUUAAUUAAGCCCACACUCCAUGCGCCUCGCUUAGGAAAAAAGUUAGCAUGUGUUGUUAUUUCCUAGGAACUGUGAGGAGGUAUUAUCUGUACUGUCUUGACAUUUGAAUACUUGCAGGUUAAUAACCACUGGAUAUUAGCUAAUUAACUUUUAUAUAAAUAAGUUUUGUAAUAAAGGCUCAUUUUUUCUCAUCUGCAGAUUCACUUACAGUGCUCAUAUUAGCAAAUCUCAGAAGCUUAUAUUACUCAAGAACAGUAAAGUUGAAGUUUCUUUACUUUUAACCAUUUUUGUUGUGAAAGUGAUUAUAUUAUUCUUCUACCUUUUUUUUAUACGUAGUUUUUUUAUUGUAGGUAAUUUUUUUUUAUAAAUUUUUACUAAUUUUUUCACAUAUUUUACAGGUGAUUCUAAAUGAGAAAGCUAACAAAAUCGUUGAAGAUUACUGGCGUCAGAUCAAAUGCAGAAAAUUCUACUGGUAUUUAUUAUAUUUCUAUCUUUGUGAAUAAUGUAUGAAAAUGAGUUCUUAUCUUGAUAUUGGUUCUUCAUUUUUGCUGUAGAUCUUGAGUAGACAGUGAAGUUUUUAUCUGCAUAAUAAACUUCAGUAGAUCUUCACGUUUCUGUUUUUUGCUCUCCAUUAUUUUUUACAUUUCUGUAAGAAAAUCACAUAAGUUUGAGUAUUAGUAAGGAAUGUCUUAGAUAAAGUGAAAAAUAUACAACAAAGAAAUUAAGUACACAGGAGGUAAGAUACUUAUCUUUUUUUGGCGGAUUUUUGUACAUGAAAAUUGUGCUUAAACUGUUUGGAAGGACAUUUAGUUAGUAAGUAUCGAAUUUCUGGUAAUACAAUUUAUUGAUGAAUAUAUUGAGCUAUAAAUUACUACCUCUUUGGCCUUCUUAUAAAGCCAUUCCAUAGGUAAUUGUUCCUUCCUGUAGAUCGAACUGGGGGCUCUGAAAUUUUUAAAUCAGCGUCUUCAAAUCUGAAAAGGAUUCGUGUUUUGGUGUUAGUUAAUUUUGAAACUUUAGUGUAAGUCUAAAGUAAGGGUUAAGAAAUCUCGGUAUUUGUACCUUUUUGCUCAUACUCUUCGGAUCUGAAAGGAUUCGGCGUUUCUGGUUCUUGGCUUCACCAAUUGUGCAUGUAGUGUCGGUAGGCGUGGCUGCACUUGCGAGAGACUUUCAGAUGUUGUGAGUUUUAGGCUCUGUAUUUGUACACACUGAAUAAGCGAGAUUUCUAAGUUUUCGAAGGGAUUUGGAUCAAAAAAUUGGUAGUUGUGUAGCUGUAAUUGAAGUUUGUGGAUGGUAUUGUGGAAUAGUUUUCAGAUUUGGAUGUGGAGAAGGAUGGGAUAUGCGGGGUAUGGAAUUAGGGUAAGAAUUUAGAGAGAAGACUCUAGAAUUCUAGAGUGAAGCGGCGCCUCCUAACCUUUAGAAUGAAGGUGGACUUGAAACCCUAGAAAUGAAGUUCUCUCUAUUUAUAUUAUUGUAUCUUUAUGGCAUAAUAAAUUUAGUUGUUGUGGUAGUUGGCAGCCAUAUAAGAUAAUUAUAAUUUAUAGUUUUUUGUGGUAAUAAGAAUGAUAGGAUAUUAGAUUGUAGUGGGUUCGAGAAUAAUAAGCCUGAUGGGCUUCAUAUAUGAAAAAUCAUGGCGUUAAUUUAUUUAAUUCAUGUCCAAAAUUAUUAUUUUUAGUUUGGGUCAUUUGUUUGGAUUAUCAUCUUUUUUCUAUUAUAUUGCUUCUAUUUUUUGUUUGUUAAAUAAGAAGGCCCGCAUUAAGCGAGAGGCCUGCUCUUAUAUCAUUGUUCCACUAAAAAAUUUAAUAUCUCCUCCCCUGAUAUUAUUUAGCUAGGUAUUAUUUAUCUUAGUUUUAUUUAUCACCAUUUAUCUCAAUUUAUAUAUCAAACACUGUGUUCAAAAUUAUCAUAUUAAUGUGAGUUGUUGAUUCGUAUGAAAAUACGUGGAUUAUUGAAUAUUUUGCAUUAUUUGUUCAAUUCCAAUAUACGUAACUAUCUAUUAUGAACAACAACUUAAUCAAAAAUAGCAGAAGUAUUAUCAUUUAAAAAAUAAUUAGAAACAACAUAAGUAUUGAUACACAUAUAUGAAACUAUGUAAUUUAUAUACAACAAAGUUAAACUGAUAAUUCAAAUGUGACAUUAAAUGUAGUGUGUGUAUAUAUAUAUAUAUAUAUAUAUAUAUAUAUAUAUAUAUAUAUACACGCAUAUCAAACUAUUAUACUAUAAUUUUUUAUACAGUAUACUUAUAUGUAUAUUGUCCAAUCACUAUGAAAAACAAGUUUUAGUUAAUUAGGGUUUAUUAUAUUAUUUUGUGUUUGUGUGUGUCUGUGAAAAUGAAUAACAGACUUUUUAAUUUUAAUAAAUUUAUGUCGAAAAUUCUUGAUAUAUUCAACUAUUCUAUAUUAUAUUUUUAUGCCAGAUUUGCUAAAAUAUGUAUACUUCAGUGUUAAAUUUAAAGCGAUUAACUUAUAAAAUUCUUAUUUUGUGUUGUCAUUAUUUGUAGAUGUUGAAAGGUCUAUCUCUUCAAAUGUUGUGGAGAAUGUAGAUAGUGUUGUUGAUUUUGAAGACAAUGGUUCGAAAUUUAUCAUUAUUGAUAAAUUUAAAAAGCAAA